rnacentral:lncRNA from 1 species
CUCCCUAAUAAAUAAAGAACUUUUUUGCGACAUGGCAUGCUCUCCUUCAAUUUGACAAAUGUCAAUUUGUAAUAAUUUUGAUUUUAUAUAUUUUCCACUUGUCAUUAUGUUUGUUGUGUUUUCCAAUUUUAUUAAAAUUCCACCUUAGACAAUGCCAUUGAUAAAUGUAUCUUAAUUUUGAUAAGGAUUUAUACAUGUAAUGUAAUUAUUCUAUUAAAGCUGACAAUAAAUUCUUUAGGGGCGUUCUUUCUUUCAUUAUUCUUAUAUCAUAUAAUUAAACAUAAAAUCACUGAUAUCACACAUAAAUUCACAGCAAAUUGAUUUUGUCAUUCAAAUUUUACAGAAAAUCCAAAAACCAUUCCAAAAUAAUACAAUGUCGAUUUCAAUUUACGAUGAUAUCCAUUGUUCUCGUAUUUGAAUAUACGAUGAUAUCAAUCACAAAGAAUCCUGGAGUUGUGAUGUGACCACAUGCUUACCAAAUGUCUGUCAAAGUUAAUCCAUCGUUCAGGUAAGUAAGCUUCUAAUCCCAUGAUGUCUUAAGUGAUGUGAUUGUGAAGGCUAAACUAUUGUUAUUAUGGUAAGUGGGAUGCAGGACUCUGUGAAUAAAGAAUGGUUAAUGAAAUCACGUUCAAUGUGUUAUAUCUUGUAGUAUUAGGAAUUUGAAUUGAUUUGACCAGAUGUGGAAGCAGCCGGGGUAUUUUGAUGUCGAUUUACUUUUUUUUUCUUACUCCGGUCCUUUUCCAAUAUCAUAGUUGGUAAAGUUAAUUUGUUUAACUUUUGGAUAUUUCCAUUCUAUGAUAAUGGAUGUAGGUAAAGUAGAAAAAAAAAAUAAUUAAAUUGAAGGUCAUAUGAAUGUUGGGAUGUUUGGAAUAGCAACUCAUCACAUGUAAAUUCCAUUUCACUAUGGGUUUAAAGAAUACCAAUUAAAUUGCAUUUUUAUUCCUUGUGCUUGGUAAUUUUCUUGUAGUUUUGGUCCAAAAGGUCACAUUUUUCUUUAUUUUUAAUCAUUGUGCUUAGUAACAUUUUUGAUCUGUGAAGGUCAUAGAUAUACAAACAACAAAUAAGUUAUUAGACGCAUAUGUAUAUAUAACCAUAGUUAACUGAGGUGUCUUGGAAGAAGAGUUUCAGGGUUAAUUUGAAGGAAAAUGGAAGGUUGAGUACACAAAUCCUCAACAACGAGCAAGAAACAAUGACUAAUUUCUUUACUUGAAAUAACAACAAAAAGAGAUGACAACAGACUUAGGGGUUUUUCAAGUACCAUCAAUCCUCUAUUAUGUGAACUGGGGUGCAAUCCAAUACCUUUUACUUUUUAUUAUGUUUUUCUUUUUGGUUACUCCAUGGUUAUAGGUACGUUGAAGGAAAAUUUGUCGGGUAUCAUUCAUACCAAAUUUAUUUGUUAUUGUAUAUGCAUGUUAUGUUUAUUUAAUUUGUUGUAUGUGAUAGGAAUUUACAUGAUCCUACAUGGGUCUGGACGUUGGAAAGAUUGAUAGAAUUCUUUUUUGCUGAUGGAGAGAUAUGUCUACAUCCCCGAGAGUGUUAGAGGNNNNNNNNNNNNNNNNNNNNNNNNNNNNNNNNNNNNNNNNNNNNNNNNNNNNNNNNNNNNNNNNNNNNNNNNNNNNNNNNNNNNNNNNNNNNNNNNNNNNCCAUCACUUUUUUUUCAAAUAAAGUAUAUAAUAUCAAUGAGAAUUGAAGAAAUAUGAUAGAACAUUUUCUUUUUAUUUUGCAAUUGUACUGUACUAUUUUUUGAAAAGCAAGUUAAUGCAUUGGUUAAUCGUGUUAUAGAGCAAAGAUAAUUUUCGAAAGCUUUGUAGGAAAUUCUAUGUUUAUUCUCAGAAUGUCUUUGACGUAUUUAGAUAAAAUGAUUCAUAUCACAUUUAAAAAUAAAAAAUAAAAAUUCAUUGGUUGUAUUUUUGUGGUGACAAUAACAAGAGUCAAUGACAGUUGUUAUCGAAGUUGUAACUGUUUUUCAGACAACCAGUGACCAGUGUUCAUUCAUAGACAGCUUAAUGUUGCAUUGUCCAGAAUUAAAAACAUAGAUAAAUUAUAAAUAUUAAUUUUAGACGAUGACUAUAAACUUAACAAUAGGUUAUAUUCAAAGAAGUCUUUGAAAUUUGUGAUUUAGAACAAUUAUUUAAAUUAUACCAAUAGUUUUUUCUUCAAUAUUAUAGAUUAAAUUAUUUACUUAUUUAUAAUGUCGGUUGUAUUUAUUUCCAAAUUUUACUAUAAAAAAUGUGUAUAGUUUACAUCUUUAGCUUUUUACUUUAUUUUAAUUAACCCGUGUAGUAUACGGGUCUCACACCUACUAUAUUUAAAUAUAUAUAUAUAUAUAUAUAUAUAUAUAUAUAUUAAAAUGUGGGACUUUAUAGUAGAUUUUCCUUAUGUAACAUGCUUUAAAACAAAAAUGUCCAUUCUAUAAUUUUGUUCUACUUGAAUAUAUUUGAAGCCACUUAUUUUGUCGAGGAUAGUUGAGUACAAUCAGGAACUCACUUAACUUUCAUGGAGCGUGGGUAGAGGGAUGUAUAAACGAAAUUAUAAAGAUUAGUUCACGUAAUUCCUUAUAAUGUGGAAACAAAAUAGAAUUUUUUUAAUCCUCCCUGAUAAAUAAAAAACUUUUUUGCCACAUGGCAUGCUCUCCUUCAAUUUGACAAAUGUCAAUUUGUAAUAAUUUUGAUUUUAUAUAUUUUCCACUUGUCAUUACGUUUGUUGUGUUUUCCAAUUUUAUUAAAAUUCUACCUUAGACAAUGCCAUUGAUAAAUGUAUCUUAAUUUUGGUAAGGAUUUAUACAUUUAAUGUAAUUAUUCUAUUAAAGCUGACAAUAAAUUCUUUAGGGGCGUUCUUUCUUUCAUUAUUCUUAUAUCAUAUAAUUAAACAUAAAAUCACUGAUAUCACACAUAAAUUCACAGCAAAUUGAUUUUGUCAUUCAAAUUUUACAGAAAAUCCAAAAACCAUUCCAAAAUAAUACAAUGUCGAUUUCAAUUUACAAUGAUAUCCAUUGUUCUCGUAUUUGAAUAUACGAUGAUAUCAAUCACAAAGAAUCCUGGAGUUGUGAUGUGACCACGUGCUUACCAAAUGUCUGUCAAAGUUAAUCCAUUGUUCAGGUAAGUAAGCUUCUAAUCCCAUGUUGUCUUAAGUGAUGUGAUUGUGAAGGCUAAACUAUUGUUAUUGUGGUAAGUGGGAUGCAGGCCUCUGUGAAUAAAUAAUGGUUAAUGAAAUCACGUUCAAUGUGUUAUAUCUUGUAGUAU